ACAAGCAGCGGAGCGUGUGGUUUAAUUCGAGGCUACACGAAGAACCUUACCAGGGUUUGACAUGCAAGUGGUAGGAAUCCGAAAGGUGACCGACCCUUCGGGGAGCUUGCACAGGUGCUGCAUGGCUGUCGUCAGCUCGUGUCGUGAGAUGUUCGGUUAAGUCCGCUAACGAGCGCAACCCUCGUCGUGUGUUAUACGUGUCACACGAUACUGCCGGUAUCAAGCCGGAGGAAGGUGGGAUGAUGUCAAGUCAGCAUGGCCUUUAUAUCCUGGGCUACACACACGCUACAAUGGCAGAUACAAUAGGUUGCGAAACCGCGAGGUGGAGCCAAUCCUCAAAGUCUGUCUCAGUUCAGAUUGUAGGCUGCAACUCGCCUGCAUGAAGUUGGAGUUGCUAGUGAACGCAGGUCAGCUAUACUGCGUUGAAUACGUUCCCGGGUUU
rnacentral:rRNA from 1 species